GUGGGGAAUAUUGGACAAUGGGGGGAACCCUGAUCCAGCCAUGCCGCGUGUGUGAAGAAGGCCUUUUGGUUGUAAAGCACUUUAAGCGAGGAGGAGGCUACCGAGAUUAAUACUCUUGGAUAGUGGACGUUACUUGCAGAAUAAGCACCGGCUAACUCUGUGCCAGCAGCCGCGGUAAUACAGAGGGUGCAAGCGUUAAUCGGAUUUACUGGGCGUAAAGCGCGCGUAGGUGGCGAAUUAAGUCAAAUGUGAAAUCCCCGAGCUUAACUUGGGAAUUGCAUUCGAUACUGGUUGGCUAGAGUAUGGGAGAGGAUGGUAGAAUUCCAGGUGUAGCGGUGAAAUGCGUAGAGAUCUGGAGGAAUACCGAUGGCGAAGGCAGCCAUCUGGCCUAAUACUGACACUGAGGUGCGAAAGCAUGGGGAGCAAACAGGAUUAGAUACCCUUGUAGUCC
rnacentral:rRNA from 1 species